GGGCGUGUAACUCAGCGGUAGAGUGCCACCCUUACAAGGUGGAGGCCGCAGGUUCGAUCCCUGCCGCGCCCA
rnacentral:tRNA from 1 species